UACGUAGGGUGCAAGCGUUGUCCGGAAUUAUUGGGCGUAAAGAGCUCGUAGGCGGUCUGUCACGUCGGCUGUGAAAUCCCGAGGCUCAACCUCGGGUCUGCAGUCGAUACGGGCAAACUAGAGUAUUGCAGGGGAGACUGGAAUUCCUGGUGUAGCGGUGAAAUGCGCAGAUAUCAGGAGGAACACCGGUGGCGAAGGCGGGUCUCUGGGCCAUUACUGACGCUGAGGAGCGAAAGCGUGGGGAGCGAACAGG
rnacentral:rRNA from 1 species